rnacentral:rRNA from 1 species
UACGUAGGUGGCAAGCGUUGUCCGGAUUUACUGGGCGUAAAGAGCGCGCAGGCGGUCGAUCAAGUCGAGUGUGAAAGCCCCCGGCUCAACUGGGGAGGGUCAUUCGAUACUGAUCGACUCGAAGGCAGGAGAGGGAAGUGGAAUUCCCGGUGUAGUGGUGAAAUGCGUAGAUAUCGGGAGGAACACCAGUGGCGAAGGCGACUUCCUGGCCUGUUCUUGACGCUGAGGCGCGAAAGCUAGGGGAGCAAACGGGG